UAAAAGCAAUGAGGGGCCCAUAAUGUCCAGUUGGAGCACUCUCAAAUCAGUCGGAAUGCUUGUGUGGAGAAAAGGAGAUGGGGAAGGGAGGGGCAAGUACACAGCUUCUGCCCUGGUUGCCCAGGAAACAGCUUGAAAGGGACCUUUGCUUCUGCUUCUUCUCCAAAGAAAGAGAAAUGUCUUGAAAGGGUAACCCUUACGGUUGAAAGCACUGGGAAGACACACACCCACAUUUUGUUCCAAUCUGAAACAUCAGUGAUUUGGCUCAGGAAGAAGCUUGAACUUACAGAGCAAUUGUUCAGCAUGCGCAGACCUGUACUGGAUGCUGCUAUCCAAGGAAAGAAAAGGUCAGAUCCAAAGCUCUGCCUUCCAAACCUGCAGGCUGGAUAUGUGUAUAGGUGAAAGUCUUCCGUGAUAGAUUUGUACCCAACAGUUGAGCCACAACAUUUAUUCGUCAUUACAAUAGGACUCUGUGACAUCAAUAAUAACUCACUGCAUGAUGUACCUGCAGCAUGAAUGAUUUAGAAAUUUCUCCAGCAUAAGCCUCACUGAAAUAAAUAAGACUUGCAUUUAAGAAGAACAUCUAUUCAUUUGCUUUCCACUUACUUCCGGGUGGAUUGUACCCACACCUUUGAAAAGGGCAAAUUAAUAGUAAUUAUGUCUUGUGUCAGCUUUGAAGAACAGCAACGAUUGCUUCACACCGAGGCUGCACAGGGUGGCUAUCAAGCAUUAUUGUACAGCUAAUACCGUUAUCCUCACCUCUGAAUGGUGCUCUUCAUUCUGCUGCAGAACUUCAAUGCAGAGCUCGGCUAAAUGAAUAACCUCUUCCAGCUUUACAGAAGGAGAUGCUUGAUUCAGCGUCUCUGUAAUGAAAAGGAAUACACAAACCAAGAUGAUUGCAGCUAGGAAAUGUGGAACGGGAAACAUAAGAAGAAUUAAAAUGAUAUACAACUGGAUAAUUUCAAAAGAGUGACAUCACCUAGCACUUCAGUGUCAUUAACAACACCAACUGUCAACAACUGGGCUCCAUAAAGAAGUUGUGACCCAACUUAAGCCUGAAACAGUUUUAGCGCGGCAGGAAUAUAGUGGGCCACUCGGAAGCUAUAGAAUGCCUGGACAGCCGAAGCUUUGAAGCAGAUUGGCAGAUGUAAUUGCAAUGGGUUUUCCGCUUCCCCGAGGUCUGAAAAACUACACACAAGUAUUUGAAUACCAUGACUUGUUCUAUCAAUUGCUGAUCUAUCAUCCAUGUAUGUACUUUUGGGCAUUUCAUAAAAGGAAUAAUUUUGGUCUUCUCAUAAUAUUCCUCCUCUUUACAAUAUGCUGCCAAAGCAUGAAGUGACUGCCUCAGGCCUACAGGCGUCAGAGGCAGUAACACUGCGUUGUCCGCAUAUAAAAGGAUUGAAAUAUGCCUAUUUGCCAAUUUAGGUGGGGGGAAAAGACUGGUUACUUUACCAAGAAAUUAACAAAUUAAUAUAAAAAUUGAAAAGCGAUGGCGCUAAAAUGCAACCCCGUCUAACCCCCUUAGAAAUGAGGAUCUCUCUUGUGAGCUGCCAACAUAUAUUAUACUGAACCAUCACAUGAGAAUUCUCAUGCAGCUUAAACAACAACUAGCCGACCCUGCACAGAGCAUCUGUGUGCUCCUUGGGGCUGGCGGUUCCCCCUUCCCCCCACCUACUGCCCCAGUCUCCCCUGCCCGCCUCUUCUCACCCCUGCCGCCUGCCCAGCUGGGCUCCUCUCGGCAGCGCGGCUCUGCUGCCUGCUGCUUCUUCGUGGUGGCCCAGUCGCCGCCUCACUGUGUCCGGACUGGGCCCGUGCGGCUCCAGGCAGGCUCCUCUCGGUGG